GACGAACGCUGGCGGCGCGCUUAACACAUGCAAGUCGAACGGAAAGGCCUGCUUUCCCUUGUGGAUUGCGGGUACUCGAGUGGCGAACGGGUGAGUAACACGUGAGUGAUCUGCCCCCAACUUGGGUAUAAGCCUGGGAAACUGGGUCUAAUUCCCGAUAGGACUGCAGGGUGGUGCCUGUGGUGGAAAACGAUUUUCUAGUGGUUGGGGAUGAGCUCGCGGCCUAUCAGCUUGUUGGUGGGGUAAUGGCCUACCAAGGCGGCGACGGGUAGCCGGCCUGAGAGGGUGGACGGGCACAGUGGGACUGAGAUACGGCCCAGACUCCUACGGGAGGCAGCAGUGGGGAAUAUUGCACAAUGGGCGGAAGCCUGAUGCAGCGACGCCGCGUGGGGGAUGACGGCCUUCGGGUUGUAAACUCCUUUCGACCGCGAGGAAGCCACCUGGUUGGAAGGGUGGUGACGGUAGUGGUAGAAGAAGCACCGGCUAACUACGUG
rnacentral:rRNA from 1 species